AGAACGAACGCUGGCGGCAUGCCUAACACAUGCAAGUCGAACGAGACCUUCGGGUCUAGUGGCGCACGGGUGCGUAACGCGUGGGAAUCUGCCCUUGGGUUCGGGAUAACAGUUGGAAACGACUGCUAAUACCGGAUGAUGACUUCGGUCCAAAGAUUUAUUGCCCAAGGAUGAGCCCGCGUAGGAUUAGCUUGUUGGUGAGGUAAGAGCUCACCAAGGCGACGAUCCUUAGCUGGUCUGAGAGGAUGAUCAGCCACACUGGGACUGAGACACGGCCCAGACUCCUACGGGAGGCAGCAGUGGGGAAUAUUGGACAAUGGGCGAAAGCCUGAUCCAGCAAUGCCGCGUGAGUGAUGAAGGCCUUAGGGUUGUAAAGCUCUUUUACCCGGGAUGAUAAUGACAGUACCGGAGAAUAAGCUCCGGCUAACUCCGCGCCAGCAGCCGC
rnacentral:rRNA from 1 species